rnacentral:ncRNA from 1 species
UAAAGAUAGAGGCGCGGUUAUCAUCAGUAUCCGCCAGUUUCCCGUCAGUAAAGCGAUGAAAGGGGUAACCGCCGAGGAAAACAGACGUUGACGGACGUCUGCUUUCCGGGGUGCGGCAAAAUAUGUCGUAAACUGUCACAUUUGGUGGAGUGCUAUCGU